CCAGCUACAGACCAGUUACAACAACCUGACUGAAGAAACAGACCAGCUACAGACUGAGAGAGAGAUUCUUAACAGGAGGCUUACCAAUCUCAAACAAACCUGUCCUGAAGGCUGGCAGAAGUUUGAAUCCAGUUGGUACUUCCUGUCUACUGAGACUAAAGCCUGGAAGGAGAGCAGAGAGGACUGUCUGGAGAGAGGAGCAGACCUGGUGAUCAUAAACAGUGAAAAGGAACAGACAUUUCUUAUCAACCUCAAGAAGAGAGUCUGGAUUGGACUGACUGACUCUGUUAAUGAGGGGACCUGGAAAUGGGUGGACGGCACAUCAC